rnacentral:rRNA from 1 species
UACGUAGGGUGCGAGCGUUGUCCGGAAUUAUUGGGCGUAAAGGGCUCGUAGGCGGUCUGUCGCGUCGGGAGUGAAAACUCAGGGCUUAACCCUGAGCCUGCUUCCGAUACGGGCAGACUAGAGGUAUGCAGGGGAGAACGGAAUUCCUGGUGUAGCGGUGGAAUGCGCAGAUAUCAGGAGGAACACCGGUGGCGAAGGCGGUUCUCUGGGCCUUACCUGACGCUGAGGAGCGAAAGCGUGGGGAGCGAACAGG